rnacentral:rRNA from 1 species
AACGAACGCUGGCGGCAUGCCUAACACAUGCAAGUCGAACGAGACCUUCGGGUCUAGUGGCGCACGGGUGCGUAACGCGUGGGAACCUGCCCUUAGGUUCGGAAUAACUCCCCGAAAGGGGUGCUAAUACCGGAUAAUGUCUUCGGACCAAAGAUUUAUCGCCUUUGGAUGGGCCCGCGUUGGAUUAGCUAGUUGGUAGGGUAAAAGCCUACCAAGGCGACGAUCCAUAGCUGGUCUGAGAGGAUGAUCAGCCACACUGGGACUGAGACACGGCCCAGACUCCUACGGGAGGCAGCAGUGGGGAAUAUUGGACAAUGGGUGAAAGCCUGAUCCAGCAAUGCCGCGUGAGUGAUGAAGGCCUUAGGGUUGUAAAGCUCUUUUACCCGGGAUGAUAAUGACAGUACCGGGAGAAUAAGCUCCGACUAACUCCGUG